rnacentral:rRNA from 1 species
GAUCCUGGCUCAGGAUGAACGCUAGCUACAGGCUUAACACAUGCAAGUCGCGGGGCAGCAUUUUCCUAGCUUGCUAGGGAAGAUGGCGACCGGCGCACGGGUGAGUAACGCGUAUCCAACCUUCCCAUGUCCACGGGAUAGCCCGUCGAAAGGCGGAUUAAUACCGUAUGAGGUCACAUGCGGGCAUCUAAGUGUGACGAAAGGUUUUGCGGACAUGGAUGGGGAUGCGUCCGAUUAGCUUGUUGGCGGGGUAACGGCCCACCAAGGCGACGAUCGGUAGGGGUUCUGAGAGGAAGGUCCCCCACAUUGGAACUGAGACACGGUCCAAACUCCUACGGGAGGCAGCAGUGAGGAAUAUUGGUCAAUGGGCGUAAGCCUGAACCAGCCAAGUAGCGUGCAGGAUGACGGCCCUAUGGGUUGUAAACUGCUUUUAUGCGGGGAUAAAGUGUGGGACGUGUCCCAUAUUGCAGGUACCGCAUGAAUAAGGACCGGCUAAUUCCGUG